rnacentral:rRNA from 1 species
CACCUAAGCGUACACGGUGGAUGCCCUGGCAGUCAGAGGCGAUGAAGGGCGUGCUAAUCUGCGAUAAGCGCCGGUAAGGUGAUAUGAACCGUUAUAACCGGCGAUACCCGAAUGGGGAAACCCAGUGUGAUUCGUCACACUAUCAUUAACUGAAUCCAUAGGUUAAUGAGGCGAACCGGGGGAACUGAAACAUCUAAGUACCCCGAGGAAAAGAAAUCAACCGAGAUUCCCCCA